AAAUGACGGAUGCUUCUGCUUCAUCAAGGCGCAGCAAGGGAGGCUUUCCACCUAUGUCCCUGUGACUCUUACGGUGGUCUAGAUUCUGCCUGUCAUCGGUGCAGAGUGAGGAGCUUCUCUGCAGAUUCCACCUGUCACGCAAGUUCUAGGAAUUUCGCGCAUCCCACCAAGCUCUCUUCCUUUGAAAUGAUGCCCUACCCCGGCUCCUUAUUAAAUGGGCACAGCAUUAAUUAUGAACAAUGCCCUAGCCAAACCAGGAAUUGUAUGGAAUUUCAUACUUAUGGACUACAGGGUGACAUUUCAAUACAUGUCUAAAAUGUAUAAUGAUCAGAUCAAGGCUCUGAACCACCAGUGGUACAAGCCAGUGGGAACCUAUUAAACAGCCAGGUGCACAGCACUUAAUAGUCCCAGCACUGGAAAGGCUGAGGUGGGACAACUGCUGAAGUCUAGUUUGAGACCAGCCUGGGAAAUGCAGCAUUUUGAGACUCCAUCUCAAAAAAUAAAUACAGAAAUGAAUAAAAACUCUAAAACAGCUCCUUGCAGGACAACUGAGCAGAUCUGUAACUGGCAGAGAGACACCUCAAGAGCUCACCUUUAGAGCUCCUUCCACCGAGGUCCCAAAGGACCAUCCCAGCUGCCAUCCUUCCAGGCUGUCAUUACUGGCCCACCC
ensembl:lncRNA